GUGAGUAACGCGUAAGAACCUGCCCUUGGGAGGGGAACAACAACUGGAAACGGUUGCUAAUACCCCGUAGGCUGAGGAGCAAAAGGAGAAAUCCGCCCAAGGAGGGGCUCGCGUCUGAUUAGCUAGUUGGUGAGGCAAUAGCUUACCAAGGCGAUGAUCAGUAGCUGGUCCGAGAGGAUGAUCAGCCACACUGGGACUGAGACACGGCCCAGACUCCUACGGGAGGCAGCAGUGGGGAAUUUUCCGCAAUGGGCGAAAGCCUGACGGAGCAAUGCCGCGUGGAGGUGGAAGGCCUACGGGUCGUCAACUUCUUUUCUCGGAGAAGAAACAAUGACGGUAUCUGAGGAAUAAGCAUCGGCUAACUCUGUGCCAGCAGCCGCGGUAAU
rnacentral:rRNA from 1 species